rnacentral:lncRNA from 1 species
AACUUUUAGCUCAAAUUUUUUAAAAGUGUGUGUUAUUAGGUUAAAAAGCUAUGUAUCAAAAUUUUAUGGUAUUUAAGCACUUACUUUGUGAGAUAUGAAGAAAGUUGUAUACAAAUAUAUGUAAGUAAGGAUUUGAAGCUAAUGUUAGGAUUUUGGCAAUAUCUCAAGAUCUGUAAUGAAUUUGCAGUUAAAAUUUUAAAAUUAUAUGAGUUCUUCAUGUAAAAUUUUGGUUUGCUUAGACAGCCGACUUGAGAAAUAUGAGUUAUUGAAGUUUAGAAAAAAUUCAUCUUAAGGAUAUACAAGGCUUUAUAAUAUUUUUA